UCGUAAAAAAUAGAUAGUUUAAGAUGCAAUAAAAAAUAUUUAUUUAAUAAAUAUAAUAUGAACGAAUAUUACAAAUACAUCAUUUAAUAAAAUAAAUAAUUAAAAACUGAAAAUUCAGAGUCUAGUUUAGUUUUAAAUGGAAGACUAUGAAUUAAUGAUUUGUUGUAAAUCUUUAAUAAAUGCCAGUGGAUCAUUGUGACUUGGGUUGGAUAGGUCGGCGAUACCUUGACUUAGGAAAUUAUAAGGUAGUUUACUUAUGAUUCUACUUUAAUCCUCGUUUCUAUAAACUGUGAGUUGGACGAAAUUUCCUUUCUCUGUAUUUAUUGACUUCUCUGAUGUAAAAGUUACUUUCUUUUGUUUAUAAUUUACUACACGUUUUCAAACUUCUUUUAAAAAAAUGUGAAAACCAGAUCAUGUAGUCUGCUUAUUUGUGCUGUUACCAUUGUUAUGUUACAACCCAAAUUUACAUCCGUAUGAUAUUUAUAUGUUGGGUAUUACUAUUUGACCAGGACUAUGAAAAUGAGUGGGCAUGCGAGUAUAUCAAAACGAAACAGGCAGUUUUGAGGUGAAAAGGAAAGAAAAAGAGUUGCACGUUUUGUAACUCAUGAUCAUAACAUAAAGAAGACAGUGACGCGUGAUAAGAAUGGAAACUUGCAUUGCAUUCGUUAACGUGUGGCGUUGUAUUGGAUUAGUCGACGUUGACUUGCAACUUUUUAGGUCUUCCACUAAUCAAACUUUGAAGUUUUCAAUGGCCAAGACGUCCUAAUUCUUACCUUUAUGAUUGGAUGGUGUAAAAAACUUCCAACUCAUCAUUCAUAUUUCGUGUGGAGUAAGAUUGGGGUGCCAAUAAGAACAACUUUCUUGAUUGAUUGUUUUAGUUGUGGUUUCGCUUAUCAAUGUUGAAUCUUUCUGGAAUUAUUCUGAAUUGAGUAGAUGUUUGGUAUGGAACUCCAGACACUGACGGUUUCUCAAUUAUGCUAAUGGAUCAGCUAGAUUUUAUCUCGGAUCUUGAGUCUUAUAGAAAGAGAGAAGAUCAAGAUUCUUUUGGUUCGGACACGGAAAGGUGAUGUGCAGAUCUUCUUAACAUAUGUCACAAAAUAAAACUAUAUAGUUAGUUCAAAAGAGUCUCUUUCUCUGUUACUCCUCCCCAUUCUCUUAUCCUCUCUUCUGCCAUAGCAGCCUGAAAUAUACAUCACUUAAAAGAUUGAAACAAUGGUUGAGUGACAACUUGUUCAACCAGUCUUAAUAUUGUUGGUUCCUCACCUCUUUGGCCCAGUUGGUUGUGCAAAUCAUCCAAGUCAAAAUUAUAGACUGAACAAAAGUUCCCGUCAUCAUCCCCCACCAAAUACCCUAAUCAUAAAAGUUUCCAUAACAUCAAAGACUAUGGUCUUUCGUCUCAUUUAUAAAAGUUUUAUAGAUAAACGAUUCUGAAUUUCAUUACCAUAACGCCAUAUUCAAACUUAAAACCCAACAGAAGACCAAAUGGGAUUCCAAACAAGUAAUAGCAAGCUAUGUUCACAUACGCAACAACUGCUUGCCAUCCAGCUCCCACAGCCACUCCUGCAUUAUAAAGGCAAGCAUUGGUGUGAGUUCUCUAACCACAUUCCUAACUACUUCAUCUUCCACAAACAAAACCGGAUACUCUUCUCGGAAGAAGAGUAAAACCGCCGCUAUAAGCAUCCCCAUCGCUGUUGAUACUAUCACCGCCACAACUAGAGAGAACUUGGCCGUUCGUGGGUGGCUAGCUCCUAGCUCAUUUGAUACUCUCACACUGGCAGGACAGGAAAAAAAAGGAUAUCAUUAUAGCUUGGUAGUUGGUACGUGUGACAUGUGUAGAACUUGUAAAUAGUUUAGUUUUCACUCGCGGAGAUUUACCUUACUGCUGCAUUUAUCCCAACUGAAACCAUGACUGCCCAUCCCAAAAUGUUCAUGCUUCAUUUUACACAUGCAUGUAAACAUAUAAUUAGAGAGUGAUUUGUAAUAAAAUACUGAGUUUUUGAAUUUUCUUCGUCAUUUUUAUAUAUCCAUAUUUUACAAUUUAAUUAAUAUAUAUG